UACGGGGGGGGGCAAGCGUUUGUUCGGAAUUACUGGGCGUAAAGGGCUCGUAGGCGGCCAACUAAGUCAGACGUGAAAUCCCUCGGCUUAACCGGGGAACUGCGUCUGAUACUGGAUGGCUUGAAUCCGGGAGAGGGAUGCGGAAUUCCAGGUGUAGCGGUGAAAUGCGUAGAUAUCAGGAGGAACACCGGUGGCGAAGGCGGGUCUCUAGUACGGUACUGACGCUGAGACGCGAAAGCGUGGGGAGCGAACAGG
rnacentral:rRNA from 1 species